AGGGUUCUGUCCUGUAAAGUUAACCAAAAAGAGUCCUGUAAUCCAAAACUUGAGAGCCAGCCGCCUACACUGAACUCAAGGAAGAAGAAGAAAAUGGGGAAAAGCGGAAAGAAGCAAAGAAAUCGCAAAGACGCAUCUUACUACCUCGAAGAAAAACAAGAAGAAGACCCUCAGCUGCCUCACUCCGAUCAUCCUAAUCUCUCACUCUCCGACGACGAUGAUGAACAACAAUAUUCCGACCACCCAUCUCCUUCUCUCCCUUCAAAGUUCUCACUUUAUCAACAAUCCGUACAGUCACCAAAAGGCGACAUUAGUUAUCUACAGAAGUUCUUUUUCACAUAUGUCGGUGGCAGGCCACCUCUUCAUCUCCAAGAAGAUUUCUGUGGAACCGCUCUUCUGAGUACGGAAUGGCUUAGGAGUGAUUCAAGAAGGACUGCCAUAGGUUUGGAUUUGGAUGCAGAGGCUCUUGAUUGGUGCAUGGAGAACAAUGUCAACAAAAUCGGGGCUGAUAUAUCUUCCAGAAUUUUUCUUUACCACGGGAAUGUGUUGCACCCCAACGAUGCUAUAUUGGUGAAAUCCAAUCUUCAAAACAUAAUGCAUAAUGUGACACUUGAAGUGAAGGAUAAUGAUUCUGAAGGCAUUGUUGAACCCGUUGCUAAUUCUGAAGCUAUUCCUCCUAGAGACAUAGUAUGUGCCUUUAACUAUAGUUGUUGCUGCCUCCAUAGCCGUCAUGAGCUUGUCUUGUAUUUCAAACACGCUCUUAGUACUUUGUCUAAACAAGGUGGGAUAUUUGUGAUGGAUCUCUAUGGUGGUACGUCAUCCGAAUGUGAACUUAGGAUGGAAAGAAGAUUUCCAAGUUUUACGUAUACUUGGGAGCAAGCUGGAUUUGACAUCAUUCAACGGAAAACAAGAAUUAGUCUUCAUUUUACGUUACAAAAGCACCAAAAGAAGAAACUUCGCCAUGCGUUUUCAUACAGCUGGAGAUUGUGGUCUUUACCAGAGAUUAAAGACUGCAUGGAAGAAGCUGGAUUUCGAUCUGUUCAUUUCUGGAUCCGCCAAAUGCCAGACAGUGGGAAUAUCAAAAGCAUGGACGGGUUUGGUGAGGGACGAGAUAUCAAGUAUGAAGAAGCUACAAGUUUUCAACAGCAAGAUUCAUGGAAUGCUUAUAUAGUUGGUGUUUCAUAGUGCUUGUUAUGGUAAACGCUUUCAACACAUUGGAUCUACCUAAUCCUUGAAAAGAAAUUGUAUAAUUUGCUUCAACACAGCUUUGAUUAGUAACGUUAAGAUCUUGGAUGUCUACAUUUCACCAGUAAUAGUGUAAUGGGAAACAAGGUUUCAACUUGUGGACAUUGAAGUGCAGAUUAGUUCAAUUUUACGAAUACUUGGAUGCCUAACAUAUACACUGAUGUUUGUGCUUUGGUCUUACAUUAUACGAGUAAUUUGUAACCAGAUGAUAUUUGGUAGAAGUAAGCUGGAUUAUUUUAGCAUGUGUAUGGAUGGUUAUAAGAUGGUAAAGUGACGAUGGUCUUUUUUAUGGUCAACGUUAAUU